rnacentral:lncRNA from 1 species
AGUGGAUUAGUUUUUAGAAAGUUCCUUACCUCUCUAAGAAUAUUAUUAGGACAAUGAACUUAAGCUCAUUAUUCUAACAAGAAACAACAAGAUCUAACAAGAAACCUCUCUCACAAAAACUGAAAAAGGCCCAAUGAACUGAUAUAAGGAGUAUAUCAAAUAGACCCCUGAGCAGUGGAAGUCAGUUAUUUUCUUGGAUGAGAACUUCAACCUGCAUGACUCAGAUUGAAAGAAAUGAUUUACUAUAGACAUAGUAAAUAUUAGUUAGUUUUACUUUAUUUCCACUUUUUAUACUGUUUUCUCAUUUAAACUAAGAACUUUGGAAACAAGUACAUACGAUAGCAGUUGUGCUUAUAGCAUUAUGUGGUUAUGUGCUUAGGUGGCUAACCGAGAGACUACUAGAACCAUUUUGAGCAAAGUAAAAAAAAGAGUGACAGUACAUAGAGCUCCCACGGUAUGAAUAGUGUAAGGAACAAUAAAGAAAAGAGGAGCCAAAUGCAGAGGUCAGGAGUAUAUAGGAUCCCUGUUAAGCUGGAAGAAAGCAACCAAACCUCCUCAUACAUAGGGGUCACUAAGAGGACGUUACAACAGAGGUUAAAGGUAGUACCAAAGAGAUGUGGCAACAGGGGCCACCAAUACUGCCUUAGCAGAAGCAGUGUAUGCCUCACAGGUAGAGAUAGGUUGGGAAGAGGUGAAGAUUAUAAAACCAAUAGCCAAGGAAUCGCAUGCAC